rnacentral:rRNA from 1 species
CAGUCGCCGCGGUAAUACGAAGGGUGCAAGCGUUACUCGGAAUUACUGGGCGUAAAGCGUGCGUAGGUGGUGGUUUAAGUCCGUUGUGAAAGCCCUGGGCUCAACCUGGGGAUUGCAGUGGAUACUGGGUCACUAGAGUGUGGUAGAGGAUAGUGGAAUUUCCGGUGUAGCAGUGAAAUGCGUAGAGAUCGGAAGGAACAUCUGUGGCGAAGGCGACUAUCUGGGCCAACACUGACACUGAGACACGAAAGCGUGGGGAGCAAACAGGAUUAGAUACCCGCGUAGUCCCUGUCUCUUAUAC